CCCUUAGAUGUUCUGGGCCGCACGCGUGCUACACUGAGUGGAUCAGCGGGUCAGGUUGCGCGAAAGCGUUUCCUAAUCUUUAAUCCGCUCGUGAUGGGGAUUGACGGUUGCAAUUUUCUGUCAUGAACGAGGAAUACCUUGUAAGCGCGGGUCAUCAUCCCGCGCUGAAUACGUCCCUGCCCUUUGUACACACCGCCCGUCGCUCCUACCGAUUGAGUGGUCCGGUGAGGCUUUGGGAUCUGAGCGGAAAGAGCGUUUCGCUGUUUCUGCUCGGAAAACUCAGUCGAACCUUAUCAUUUAGAGGAAGGAGAAGUCGUAACA
rnacentral:rRNA from 1 species